rnacentral:rRNA from 1 species
GUGUCAGCAGCCGCGGUAAUACAGAGGGGGCAAGCGUUGUUCGGAAUUACUGGGCGUAAAGGGCGCGUAGGCGGCCUGUUAAGUCGAACGUGAAAUCCCCGGGCUCAACCCGGGAACUGCGUCCGAUACUGGCAGGCUUGAAUUCGGGAGAGGGAUGCGGAAUUCCAGGUGUAGCGGUGAAAUGCGUAGAUAUCUGGAGGAACACCGGUGGCGAAGGCGGCAUCCUGGACCGAGAUUGACGCUGAUGCGCGAAAGCCAGGGGAGCAAACGGGAUUAGAAACCCGCGUAGUCC